rnacentral:rRNA from 1 species
UGGGGAAUUUUGGACAAUGGGCGAAAGCCUGAUCCAGCAAUGCCGCGUGUGUGAAGAAGGCCUUCGGGUUGUAAAGCACUUUUGUCCGGAAAGAAAUCCUUGGCUCUAAUACAGUCGGGGGAUGACGGUACCGGAAGAAUAAGCACCGGCUAACUACGUGCCAGCAGCCGCGGUAAUACGUAGGGUGCAAGCGUUAAUCGGAAUUACUGGGCGUAAAGCGUGCGCAGGCGGUUUGCUAAGACCGAUGUGAAAUCCCCGGGCUCAACCUGGGAACUGCAUUGGUGACUGGCAGGCUAGAGUAUGGCAGAGGGGGGUAGAAUUCCACGUGUAGCAGUGAAAUGCGUAGAGAUGUGGAGGAAUACCGAUGGCGAAGGCAGCCCCCUGGGCCAAUACUGACGCUCAUGCACGAAAGCGUGGGGAGCAAACAGGAUUAGAUACCCUGGUAGUCCACGCCCUAAACGAUGUCAACUAGUUGUGGGGAUUCAUUCCUUAGUAACGUAGCUAACGCGUGAAGUUGACCGCCUGGGGAGUACGGUCGCAAGAUUAAAACUCAAAUGAAUUGACGGGGUCAUAGCUGUUUCCU